rnacentral:rRNA from 1 species
UAAGACGUAGGGCGCGAGCGUUGUCCGGAUUUAUUGGGCGUAAAGAGCUCGUAGGCGGCUUGUUGCGUCGACUGUGAAAACCUGCGGCUCAACCGUGUGGUCUGCAGUCGAUACGGGCAGGCUGGAGUUCGGUAGGGGAGACUGGAAUUCCUGGUGUAGCGGUGAAAUGCGCAGAUAUCAGGAGGAACACCGGUGGCGAAGGCGGGUCUCUGGGCCGAUACUGACGCUGAGGAGCGAAAGCGUGGGGAGCGAACAGGAUUAGAUACCCUGGUAGUCCACGCUGUAAACGUUGGGCGCUAGGUGUGGGUGGUGUCGACUCCAUCCGUGCCGAAGCUAACGCAUUAAGCACCCCGCCUGGGGAGUACGGCCGCAAGGCUA